AUACAUGCAAGUCGAGGGGCAUCGGGGGUAGCAAUACCUGCCGGCGACCGGCAAACGGGUGCGGAACACGUACACAACCUUCCUUUCGGUGGGGGAUAGCCCAGAGAAAUUUGGAUUAAUACCCCAUAGUAUAUCAUUAAAGCAUUUUGAUGAUAUUAAAGAUUUACUCGCCGGAAGAUGGGUGUGCGUCUGAUUAGGUAGUUGGUAGGGUAACGGCCCACCAAGCCAACGAUCAGUAACUGGUGUGAGAGCACGACCAGUCACACGGGCACUGAGACACGGGCCCGACUCCUACGGGAGGCAGCAGUAAGGAAUAUUGGUCAAUGGACGCAAGUCUGAACCAGCCAUGCCGCGUGGAGGAUGAAGGUCCUCUGGAUUGUAAACUUCUUUUUUCUGGGAAGAAAUGCAUUUUUUCUAAAGUGUUUGACGGUACCAGAAGAAUAAGCACCGGCUAA
rnacentral:rRNA from 1 species